AUGGCAGUGCAGCAAUGCACGGUGGCGCUGUUCGUGGCCGUCGCCCUCGUGGCCGGGCCAUCCGUCUCGUACGCUGCCAAAGCCGGCCACGCCCCAGCCGGGGAACAACCCAAGGCCACAACCGAGGAGCAGAAGCUAAUUGAGAAGGCCAACAACGCCUUCAAGGCGGCCGUGGCGGCUGCAGCCGUGGUCCCCCCAGCGGACAAGCCCAAGUAUUUCGAGACCACCUUCGUCAACAACUUUGGCAACUGGACACUCGAAGGGUUAGCCAACGUGUCCAGCGCCAACGCUAGUAUCAGCACUAGGGUCGUCUUCGCUCAGGUGGCGGCCGCCAUGAACGCCCAGGGCGCUACCCCGGAGGCCAAGUAUGACUCCUUCGUGGCCAUCUUUGGCGAGUCGCUCCGCAUCAUCGCCGGCAUCCUAGAGGUCCACGCCGUCAAGCCCGCCCGCGAGGAAGUCAAGGGGGCGAUCCCUGCCGGCGAGCUCAAGGCCAUUGACCAGAUCGACACCGCCUUCAGGACUGCAGCCACCGCAGCCGACGCUGCCCCGGCCAAGGACAAGUCCACCAUCUUCGACUCCGCCUUCAGCAAGGCCAUUAAGGAGACCAUGGGCGAUGCAUACAAGGACUACAAGUUCGUCCCCGCCAUCGAGUCUGCCGUCAAGAAGAUGUAUGCCGUAUAUGUUCCUGAGAGUCCCGAGGACAAGAGCUUCAUCUUUGAGAGCGCCCUUACCGACACCAUCGGCGCCAUGGCCACCGCGGCCGCCGCCGCCACCCCCGCCACUCCCACUCCCACUCCCGCCUCCGCCACCGGUGGAGACAAAGUCUAG
rnacentral:rRNA from 1 species